rnacentral:rRNA from 1 species
CAAUAGCGUAUAUUAACGUUGUUGCAGUUAAAAAGCUCGUAGUUGGAUUUCUGGAGGGAGCGUCGGCCCGUAUUUACGAGUGCGUGACGUCUCUGUCCAUCCUUGCGGGAAGGCACGGCAUUGAUUUGUUGUGUCGGAUCGCAUCAUUUACUGUGAAAAAAUUAGAGUGUUCAAAGCAGGCUUUCGCUUGAAUACAUUAGCAUGGAAUAAUAAGAUAGGACUUUGGUGCUAUUUUGUUGGUUGAGCCUAAAGUAAUGAUUAAUAGGGAUAGUUGGGGGCACCUGUAUUGCGUUGUCAGAGGUGAAAUUCUCGGAUUUGUUAAAGACUAACUUAUGCGAAAGCAUUUGCCAAGGAUGUUUUCAUUAA